GGUCAGCCAGUCUCAGGCCGGGCCCUGCCCAGCCCCCACUUCCCCCUCCCCAGGCCCUGGCUCCCGGCCUCUCUGGGCCGGGGGCCUGGGCUGGCACUGGGCAGUGGGGGCCUGGAGAGGAAGGAGGCUUGGCGGGCGGCUUGAGGGGGAGGUUUCUGCACUGAAGGUCACGCUGUCCUGCAGCUCGGGCAGCCCAGAGAGAAUCAGGUGGGUCAUCACCAGCCCUGCUGUUCUCCGCACUUGCUGAGCUGGGUCCCGGAGCCUAGGAGUGAAAUCUCAAGUCACUGGCACUAAUGGAAUGUGUCUGGGGAAAGGCAAGUUCUGUAAAACCAUUCCUACAGUGGUCAAAUGUGUCUAUAAAGAGGAAGCACACCUUAAUUAAACAGGAAUAGAACUAGGAUUCUGUAAUUUUACUUCUAAGUUGCCAAAUGUGAACUGGCAAAUUCAAAGUGGAACAAGCAGCAUUAUUUUCAAGUUGCUAAAGCAUAUUCCUACAUCUCUGAACUCAUCCUCACAGAAGCAUGUCAUUUCCUGCAUACAAUCAAUAAACGGAUCAUGGGGACAAUGGUUCAAGGUCACAGAGGUCAGACCUAAUUCCACUGCUGCAAGAUACUCUGUGUCUUAUUUGUCUGCAAGACACCACUGCCUCUAGUGGAAAGAACACAAGGUCCCCAUAAGGUGGCAGGCCCAGCAACCACGGCUGAUGGGAAAGGGGGUGCGUGUGUGCUUAUUCUAACAAGCAGUGCCUGAGGGGGAGCCUAGAUUUCAUGCUGAGGUCCCUAACUCAACGCUCUGUUUCCCUAAAACUUUCCUUCCUGGGUGGUCAACAACAGAUCGCUCCAUCUUUGUUCUCACUAACCUUUCCCAGUAACAGCAGCAAGGAGGCAGGGUGUCUUCCUCAUUUAACAGUAGAAAAGCAGAGGUUCCCAGAAGGAAACGUGAGUGACCCACAGUCAGGAAAUAAAUCCGGGAAAUGCUUGGGACACAAACCCAAACACGCAGGCACUUCAUUCACCUUCUCCUUUGGAUCCUUAGUCUUCUGCUCCUGCUCUUCCCGAAGAACCCGGCGCCGACAGAGCUCCCCGCUCACUGCCUGUUCCAAGUGCACCAGCUGCUGCAGAGCCACAUCUCCAGCCAGGGACAGCAGGUUCAUCAACAGGAAAGUGGGGAGCAUGGGGGUGUCCUCUGGAGGAGGGGAGGCAAAGCAGGGAGAAAGAGACAAAAUUAAAUCUCACAGGACCCUG